UGUUCAUGUGAAGAAGUGCAAAGAUUUUACACCAAAGUACACUUUCCGACCAAACACUUGGGUGAUGGUCCGUAUUAGUAUUAAUGAGUAUAUGAAGUGCACAGAUCUAGAACUGUUGACACAGACAGAAGAUGGACAAGGAAAUGACAUGGUGGUUCAUUUUGUAAAUGAGAAAUACUUCCCUAUAGAGGUUCCAAGAAGAGCAUCGGAUGAACGGAAUUUAAUUCUUUUGGAGUUAGUAGAAGUUAAAAUGGAGAGAGACUUGCCAAGGCUGCUGGCACGUGCAACAGUGCACCUG